CUCAGUUAAAUUUGAAUUUCAUAUAAACAACAAAUAAUUUUUUUAGUGUAAGUAUGUCUCAUGCAAUAUUUGGGAUAUACUUAUACUAAAAAAAUAUUUAUUUGAAAUUCAAAUUUAA
ensembl:miRNA